ACCUGGCUAGCUCAGUUGGUAGAGUGUGUGACUCUUGAUCACAGGUUGUAAGUUCAAGACCUAUGCUGGGUA